AAGAACAGCUACUAAACAGAUGAUUUAAAGUGAUUACUUAAAAGGACAGGAUAGAAGAAUAAAGACUGCUUUCGAGAAAAUGAUUGUCUUGGUCACUUUUAUUACUAUGAAGAGAUGUCAUUACUAAGAAUCACCUGGAUGCUUCUAAAGAGGAUGUCUACCAGACCCCAUGCCGCACUAAUUAGCUCAGAAGUGGGAACCCUUCAUAAGAUGUAAGCUACUAUACCAGCACUAUGCCUGCCUACCUGCUGCCACAUUCCUUGUCAUGAUAACCAUGGACUAAGCCUCUGAAACUCAUCCAGGCACUGAAGCUCUGGAAGCCCAGCGAGGACAACUCAGACUCAGGAGACAGAGGACUCUGUAGAAGAGGUGUUCCAGGGCCUGGGUGCCACCAGCCAGCUCCGCUAGAAGAAUGCUGUGAGAACAGGCUGGCACUGAGCUGGAGUGGCCAUCGUCACAAGGGUACCACCUGAAGGGUGGGCAGAGGGCCUCGGGGAGGAGCCACAUACUCUUCCUCCCUGAGCAGCCGCAGCAGGAUGUUUUUCUUAUUCUUGGGCCAGCUGUAAACAUGAGUGUUCUGAAGCCAGGUCGGCACAUGCUCCUGUGGAAGAGAGGGCAGGAACAAGGGUCACGGAAGGGAGCGAAGCCUGGAUUCCAGAUCCAGGGCUCAGUUCUGAACAGCUCUGGAUGCCUCCGUAGGUGUUCCCACCAGGCUGUCUUGGGAGCUGCUGGUUUGCUUUUGGAGAGUAUAGCACACGAAGCACUUUUGGCUUCUGGUGCAAGCUGUGUAUCUCAUUAUGGAAGCCAUAUGUGUGCAGCGUUUUCCGUCAGUCUCCCAGGCUACCUGCCCUUUGCAUGCCAUGUGCUUUUCACCACCUCACAUGAAAGGGGUAGGACUGAGGUCACGCUGAAUGAUGUGAAUUCCCCUGGGGCUUUGGGGGAAGGAUGCCAGGGCUGUGGGCUUAAUCUAAUUCAUGAUUCUUUCACUUCAAACUGAAGGAAUAAAACAGAGCUCAGAGCUGUGAGCCUGGGGUUCCACCAGCCAGUCACCCUCAGGACAGCCCUCAGGACUGUCCGUGUGGAGCACAUAUUCUGGUGAGGAGAGACCAUGAGAAGCUCAGCAGCAACCAGAAUCAAAAUCUGGAAUUCUGCUGUCAGAGGAGGAGUGUGCAGCAUCUAGGAGGAUGCUUCGGAAGAACCACACAGUUAUAGAAGUUGCUAGGCAUGUAUGUUCAAAAGCAACAGUGUCAGAGUGUCCAGAACAGCAAUUAAGUAAGUCAGUGGGAAAUGGGGAAAUGUCACAGGUUUUAAAACUAGAGAAAUAGAGAUUGGAGUUCCCAGAUGGCAGAGAAGAAGGUGGAUAGUAUAGAGUUCAGAGGAGGGUGAGACCAAUAAAGAGAUUUGCCAGUUAAUAACUGCAUUUAGUCCCCGGACAAGCCAGGGCCAGCAAGGAUGAGGGGUCCUUUCAUAUGUAUUGUGCAUUGUUCGACCUUAUGCGUCCAGUCCACAAAUACUGGUGUCUUAGUUUGGGUUUCCAUUGCUAUGACAUGACACCAUGACCAAAGCAAUUCUUUUUUUUGUUUGUUUGUUUGUUUGUUUGUUUGUUUUGUUUGUUUUGUUUUGUUUUGAGAGAGGGUUUCUCUGUAUAGCCCUGGCUGUCCUGGAACUCACUUUGUAGACCAGGCUGGCCUCGAACUCAGAAAUCCACCUGCCUCUGCCUCCCAAGUGCUGGGAUUAAAGGUGUGCGCCACCACUGCCCAGCUCCAAAG
rnacentral:lncRNA from 1 species